UACGUAGGGUGCGAGCGUUAAUCGGAAUUACUGGGCGUAAAGCGUGCGCAGGCGGUUGUGCAAGACAGAUGUGAAAUCCCCGGGCUUAACCUGGGAACUGCAUUUGUGACUGCACGGCUAGAGUGUGUCAGAGGGGGUAGGAAUUCCACGUGUAGCAGUGAAAUGCGUAGAUAUGUGGAGGAAUACCGAUGGCGAAGGCAGCCCCCUCGGGAGUAAC
rnacentral:rRNA from 1 species